CCCCAUCGGGCGGAGCCCUGGCAUUUCCUGAGUCAUCCUCGAAUGGUGAAGAUCGUAUCUUGCUCGCAAGCUUAAAGUGAUUCAUUUUGUUCCUCGAGUUUACCACGGGAUUUUUCUUCCGUCGUUCGACAAGAAACACGAGCCAGAUACAGUCUCACCGUUUGAGAUGGCAAUGGGACGGGCGGAGGGAGGUUGCUGUUUGCAGUGAUGCUGGGAGCAUACCGCAAGGGGGAACAGGAAUCCCACGUUCUAGUCUCUCUACGCCUUUCUCCAGUUUGGUUUGUAAUCUGUAUCGAAACCAAUGUAUUUCUCUUUGCAGUUUUACAUUUUGAAACAAUACGAAUAUUGGAACUAUUCGAAUUUAUUAUUACUCUCAAAGAACGUUUGAUCUCGGAUAUUUUUAUUUUUUUUUUCCAGAGUUACAACGCUUUUAUUCGAACAAAACCUAAAAUAUGAAUGUAUAAUUUCUAUAGAUAUAUAUAUAUAAAUUUAAACACAUUUGUACAACACAUACGUAUUUAAACGGAUAGAUCUAGUAGUAAAAACGGGUACUGAUUGUUAUUUCAAAGACCAUCAACAGAGACCGGGUUAGGUUUAAUAAAAAUUAUGCAAAGCGUUAACUGACAAAUUUGUACAAGGAUUGUGAUACAGCAGGAGAGGAAUAAAUGUUAACAAGAAAACUUUUUGACAACUUAUUUUGUGAAACUCUUAAUUCACCAUUAUUAAUACCAGCAAUCCUUUUCAGUAUGGCAUACACCUUACAAACUUGUAUCGCACGCAAGAGAUACCCGCACACAUGUCGUCCAGGCUGUUGCUCGUUAUCGACGACGUCAGUGGCCUGUCUAUGUAACCAUAAGAAUGAGAUCAGAUGAGAGGAGUGGUGGUGAGAGAGGAUUAUUAGUACGGGUUGAGGGAGGGGGAAAACUGUUUGUUUCUAGAAAUUUGCGCACCAAGUAUCGCAGACGAGUUGCACGGCGAAUCAAGUCAUACAAACACCUAGCGUUCACACACUUCCAUAUCUCGACCAAGCAUCAAGUAUUCUCCCAAACGUCAUCCGGCCGUGUGCUGCACAAUUUUGGGGCUCACUGCGACAAAAACUGCAGCAAAACUAGAGCCUCCUUUGGUGAGCUAUUCCCUUCUCUCCGUUACCACUUGUGCAAAUGUAUUUUCUCAGGUGCAGAAAGGUUUCCCCCUCGACGCAUUGCAUCGCUAAGUUAUACAAUGCACAAGUUAUUCUGCUUAUUGACAAUAGAACGCGAACUCGUCGGCUAAAUUGGCUAGCCCUGGAACACACCGCAUAUAGGUACCUCGGUUCAAUUAGGCUGUAAGGGCUUCGAGGUAUGGAGAGAGAGAGAGAGAGAGAGAGAGAGAAACGGUAAUUCGUUGCAUGUCUGUCGACUCGAGACGACCCAGAAACGCCAGAUAUGCCAGAUCUUUAUCGCAAGUAGCAACAAUACAUUUUCAAUAAGAGCAUGCGACUAUUACGAUGACGAAGGCUCGAAGUAUAUACGGUUUUUAUGCGCGCGGUAUUGGUACUGUAACAUUGUUUUUUUUUUUGGCUGGCAUCAUGCCACUAGAUAAUUAUUUUCACAGAUUCGACCAUGCUGAAUCGUUCCGCGAGUAAAGAGACAAGAAGAUGUGUGUGUAUAAAGUAUGUUUUAGAUCAGAGUAAGUUUCGCUAACGAGAACUAUGCGGAAGUCGCGCAAAAAGAAAAAGAGGUAUCAGUUUGUUUUACAGUUAUGUUAACUCACGAAGACACGAGCAACGUACUCGAAAUGUUUUUUCCGUCGAACGUGUUUGGGAAGGACGGGGGAGGGGGGGUAUUUUGAGAUCAUUUUCUUCAUCGCAGAAAACAAUUCGUCUGAACUGUGUUGGAGUUUCCCGCUAAUUUUAACAACGAAUAGGAAAGCAAACGGCAUUGUGGCAGUUAUCGACAAAGUAGUACCACCUAGACGAUGUUUUUAUCUUAAUGGAAUGAAAAUGGUGUGCAGCAUUCGUUUUACCAAGAAGAAGCUUUUAUACGUAUAAUCGGACAUCUUGGAAAGCAGGAGAGAGAAUUCGUAGUCACCCAUUUUUCAUUGAGUAUGAACUGUGUCGAAGGUUUGGUAUACGAAUGGUUCAAAACGCCUCCUAUAUAUUGGGACCACGCUAUCGUCUUGCAUUAUAAUAUAUUCAUAACAAUUUUAUGAAUUGCAUUCUAAGUAUACAUACAUCUAUUGGUUGGGUAGUUUCUGUUCAGAUGUCUUUUGUACUGCAGGAAUACGUGAAACAUUCGUACCCUGGAAGCACAACUCUAUAACUACCGGUAGAAGUGGUUUUUCUCUCACUGGAAUAUAUCGCUGUCAUGUUUUCAAAGGUACAUUAUGGUAUGUUGAAGUAGAAGAAGGGCAUGGGGGCGAAAAAUAUUGUAUUUCAGCUAGAAUGACUAAAGCACACUUGUGUGAGUCAAUUUGCAAUAAUAAGCUGCUUACAUUAGAAUCUUAACUGGAUGCCGAUACGGUAAUCGUGCCAAACAUAUGUACAUACAUACAUACAUAUAUAUAUGUGAGGAAUUCGUGAUAUUAAAAGUAAACAGUAUUCUCGAUCAUGUGAUCCGUAUGUAACAAGUUCGAUAAACGAAGGUAACAAUUUAAUGUGCUGAACAAUUCGUAUUAUAUAAAUAUAUUAGACUGUGUGAAGUGGGUCGGGGGUGUUUGAGGUGAGCUAUGCAAUUUUGUGAAAGCUGCAGGACCGAAGCUGGUACAUACAAGCAUCGCAGUGGAUAAUGUUAUUGAAACGGGAUUUCUCUCUUCGCAUGGAACACGCCAUUCGUUUUUCUGUGUAGUAGCAGCAGCAAGAUAUCAUUCCAUAAUUUCAGUAAUACUAAAUAACGAGCAGAACUGUGUUAUAAUUAACAAGCAUGGCACCUGCGUGAGACCCUCGCAUUUCUUUUCUCAUGACUGUGUUUAGAGGUAUUCAAGACGGUUUGGAGAUACUCGUCCAAGGAACAAGUGGGAGAAGAAAACGAGUGUGUGUUAUUAAAUUGCUUCUUUUUAAAUUUUUGUCGUUCUAGCGCUAUCUUCAUAAGGUAUUUUAGCUAAACCAGGUGAUGCAUUUUUAAUAUAUUUUCUUAGUAUGUACGGGUAGAUUAGACUUAUUUGUUAGAAAUCACUGUAUAAUUAUUUGUUCCAUGAUGAAACAUGUUUGGGACGGGGAGAGGGUGGAUAUAAACGAUUUUACCUUUUUUUCCACAGACACGUAUUAACAGGUGGACAUGCGUUUAAAGUUUUGUUAUAAAAUCAACCAAAGCAUGACACACAGAGCACGAUAGCGUUAAACUCUUGAAUAUGCAUAUGAUAAUGUAUUAUUUGAUCAUCGAGUUAGGAUAGUUUAUAUGCUUGAACAAGAAUCGUUGAGAGACACACAGAUCGUUGGAUCCCUUCUGGUCUUCCCCUCGGAAAGUAGAAGAAAAUAUCACGUUCGAACGAUACAUUUUCUAAAGAGCCAUUGGUCCUAGUGGAGGGCGCUUCUCAAAAAACGUGUAUGUACUCCUCGGAUGAACAUUACUUUUACCACGUUGUUAGGAAGAAGACUGUUGCAUUCGAUUAGCAGUACAAAAACUAUUUUCCUGUGGAUCACGAAUUUCAUCGUUCUUCGAAUACGAACAUGGCAAGUCGUUAACAAAAUAAUAGCUUGUACUUUUAAGUGCAAAGUGUAAUGCAUAGACGAAAAAUGAUCGAACGAACAUCUCCAGGCUUUCAUCAGGUAAUAGCCCCUAACUAUAAUUUUAAUUAGACAUUUACGAUACGGAAGAUACUUUUUACGUAACUAUUGCAGAUACAUUCCUCGGGCUAAAAAAAAAAAAAUUCUUUUUCUUGAGAAAUCAUUUACGCGCGAUAAACUGUUUCUUAUAAACAGGUUCGUUCUGAUUCAAAGGAAAUUCCUAUCGUUGCUUGUGAAUACGAACAUGAAUGCAAAACAGAUGAUCGAUGGAAAUUGUUUAUUCGUGAUCAAACUGCAUUGACUAUUAUGUGAACGAAUUGCGUACAAAAUUCAGUCGAAUAGCGUUACAAGUGCACGAAAGACCACAAAAUAACAUCACGACGUAUCCUUACUGUCUGCCACAAUGCUUGGUAUCUGAAAAAUGUUGUUGUUACGUAAAAACAAAAACACUAUCACGGAGAAUGUAGCAGCUCAAGCUUUAACAUAACAAAGCCUGUAUGAAAGUGUAUGAUGCUUUGUAUGAUAGUCUACCUAACAUUGAAUAAUCUAAAAGUAUUGCAUUAGGAAAGUUGGUACCACUGUUUAUAGAUUUUCACGAGUGAGUAAUUGUGUUUCGUGUCUACUUUCUCUGGACAAGUAAUAGCUCUUAUAUAGACCGUGUCUAGAAUCAUAUAUAUUGUCAUUAGCUAUGUAUGAUUUAUUUGUAAUGCUCUUUAAGUGUUGCAUUUUAUGCAUUGAUGGCUUUUCCUCAUAAAGGUAGUUAGAAUGUGCUGUAAAUGUUACUUCUACAGUGUUUUUUUCUUUCCUAUUAGUGGUUGACCAUUGUAUAAUUCAAAAUUAAUAUACACACGAUAUAUCAUCAGGUGAAGGGUGGCGCGAGCUGUGCAUUAACUUCUCGAAAGUUUCGAAUAUUACAGAAUAGUAUUCUACAGCAUAAAGGUAUCUUCUAAGUGUUACCGAAUUGGUACGAUGGAUUGUUCUCAGCCAGCAAUAAGAAUGAGUAAAAUGUUUGAGAGGAAACUGUGUAUGAAAUUUCCAAAGUUCGUUUAAAGGACAAUGGGUCAAGGAGUUGAUUGUUUUAUCGCAAAAUGUUUCGAAUUCAGCAGAAAUUCUGCCAUGGGCCUUUAUAGGUGUGAGUUACUUUGGUAUUUUUCGUGUUUGCGUCGCAGAAAAGCUAACCAAGUGUUUUAGAACCUGUUUACCGAGUAUCGAGUUCGUGCGGACGAAGAGGGCGGGCGGCUGAUUUACUAUGGCUGCAUCGAGUAAUACUUACCAAGUCCGAAACAGUGGUGUUCUUCCACCCUCCGGUGAUCUGUGCAUGGAGUUGUGGUCUUAUUGCCUUGUCCGUCAUUCUAUCGAUAGUUGGAUAUACCUUCUUGGAAAGGCUCUGGAAAAUGGAAUUGCGAUGAAACUUAUUUUCUGCUGUGGUCCGAUGGCGAAGCAUUCGCGGUGCAUUGUCCUGUGCGAAAAGGAGAGAGAGGGGCACCGACUUCAAGGCUGAAUUAUUAGUUUGCGUUCUUUGAUGGGAUUGCGAGUUACCAUUGCGUCUUGUUGAACCCGAAGGCGAUUCGAAGGGCCAUACCUUUUCUUUUCGAGUUUUCGACAGGCAUUGACACGGAUGUUUUGCGGUACGAUACAAUGCGAAGUCUUCGAUGCAGAGUUCCAGCAGAAACGCCUAUUUCCCUUAUAGAAAAAAUUUAAUUGCUUGCUAGCAUUCAAUUUUCGGUGCUGCUAGUUUUCAUUGAACUAUCUUGAAGACGAGAAAUAGAUUGAACAAGAAGUUAUGGAAAAUUAUUAUUACUACAAGGGGAAUAGCACUUUAAAUUUACAAAUUUGCAAAUAUUAUUCAAUAGCAGUAUACAUAAUAUUACAAUUUUGUAAGAUCGUUACGAACGCUCGCAAUGCGAUUACAGAGCGUAGUUAUGAAAGAGUACUUGUAGAACUUUCGUGCUUGGAUGCAAAAUUAUCAUUUUCUUUUCUUUUUUUUCUUUUGGAGAAUAUUAUGUUUGAAAGAUGUAAAAGUUGUGAAUGUGCAAAGGAGGGAAAUUUUCGAUAUGGAAUUUCGCGACUCGCGGAGGAAGAAAUAUCUGUCGGCGUAAGAUUUCGAGGAAUGAAGAUACAGUGACAGUCGUCGCGGGACUUCGUGGGAUGAAGAAGAUCUAACUGUCAUCGCGGGACUUCGUGGGAUGAAGAAGAUCUAACUGUCAUAGCGGGACUUCGUGGGAUGAAGAUACAAUAAUGGUCGUCGCGGGACUUCGUGGGAUGAAGAAGAUCCAACUAUCGUCGCGGGACUCGGAGGGUUCUGGAGAAGAAGAAGACAUCGAGGGACAUCGAAGGACAUCGAAGGACAUCGUGGGACGUCGCGGGACAUAGAGGACUGGAGAAGAAGAAACCACAUCGCGGGGCAUCACGGGACAACGCGGGGUAAAGAAGAAAAACCUGUCUUCGUGGGAUUUCGAGGGAUCAAGAAGAGGAAACUCGUCGCGGGACUUCGAGGGAUGGACGAAGAAUGAAUUAUUGCUGCGAGACUUUGAGGAAUAAAGGAGGACAAACUAUCACCGUGGGACUUCGAGGGAUGGACGAAGACUGGACUAUUGCUGCGAGACUUCGAGAAAUGAAGAAGAACAAACUAUCAUCGUGGAACUUCGAGGGAUGGGCGAAGAAUGUACUAUUACUGCGAGACUUCGAGAAAUUAAGGAUGGCAAACUAUCGCCGUGGGACUUCGUGGGAUAAAGAAGAAUAAAUUGUCGUCGUGGGACCUCGUGGGAUGAAGGAGAAUAAAUUGCCAUCGUGGGGCUUCAAGGAGCUUGAUAGAGGAGACAAGUUACUAUCGACGGACUUUGUGAAGAACAGCUGUUGCAAGAAUUUAUCAAGAGCAAAAGUACAAUCGUCGUUGGAUUUCGUGAAGAACGAAAGAAUCAUCGCGUAAUUCCGUGAAGAAUAGAAGAAAAACUGGUGUCGAUGUAUUUCGCGAAGAAGUUAUAGAUAUUUAUACCAAGAUGAAGAAGAACUUGAUUUUGUUCGAUGUAGAAAAGAAGUUCAAUUACUUCACAGAAAAAAUAUAUCGACGUGGGAAAUUUUUGAAUGGUAUAUUUUGUCAGUAGCGAAGGGAAGAACUUUUUGCAUAGAACAAAGUGGAGUGGAUAAAAAGAAGUUGUUGAUGGUGGACUUUGAUGGAAGCAAAAGUAGAAGAUCUGAGAGUUCCUAUAUUUAAUGGGAGAAAUAUCUAACUAUAUAGAUGCAAAACAUUUUGGAAUGGGGAAGAAAGAAUUAUCGACUUAAUAUUUGAGUGAUUCGGGAUAAAAUUAUUGACAGGAUGAAAACCUAAAAGAUGUAGAAGAAAUUAUCGAUGCAGGACUUUGUGGGAUGCUGAAACAGAAACGAUCGGUGUGAUUUUUAGUAAGAUAUAAAAAAUAGGUUAGAUAUAUAUAUAUUUAAGAUAUGUAUAUAUAGAUACAGGUAUAUUUAAGAAUUUUGUUCUCAAUGCUUACGACAUUGUUUUCAAUGUUUUAGACAUGACGAUAUUAGAAAACCGUUUCAGUAUUACAUUUAUUUUUAAUUUGUCUUGUACAUUAGAAUGAUUUUUAAAACUUGUUCAUAAAAAUUGUACAAAAUCUAUAACUGGUAAAAAUUGGAAAAUGACAAGUUACGGAUGACACGAUGGAUUAAAAAGCGACGGAAUUUCAUUUGAUUGUAACGAUUGGUUUUCAGAGACAGACAUAAAUAAGGACCAUUAACGACUAAAUUGAAAUGCAGUUAGAGAAUGUAGCAAAUUCACUGUGCGAAUAGCAA